rnacentral:rRNA from 1 species
UACGUAGGCAGCGAGCGUUGUUCGGAGUUACUGGGCGUAAAGAGUGCGUAGGCGGUUUUCUAAGUUUGGUGUGAAAUCUCCCGGCUCAACUGGGAGGGUGCGCCGAAGACUGGAAGGCUUGAGUAUGGGAGAGGUAAGCGGAAUUCCAGGUGUAGCGGUGAAAUGCGUAGAUAUCUGGAGGAACACCGGUGGCGAAGGCGGCAUCCUGGACCAACACUGACGCUGAGGAGCGAAAGCCAGGGGAGCAAACGGG